AACGGACGCUGGCGGCAGGCUUAACACAUGCAAGUCGAGCGCCCCGCAAGGGGGGCGGCAGACGGGUGAGUAACGCGUGGGAAUCUACCCAUCUCUACGGAAUAACGCAUGGAAACGUGUGCUAAUACCGUAUACGUCCUUCGGGAGAAAGAUUUAUCGGAGAUGGAUGAGCCCGCGUUGGAUUAGCUAGUUGGUGGGGUAAAGGCCUACCAAGGCGACGAUCCAUAGCUGGUCUGAGAGGAUGAUCAGCCACACUGGGACUGAGACACGGCCCAGACUCCUACGGGAGGCAGCAGUGGGGAAUAUUGGACAAUGGGCGCAAGCCUGAUCCAGCCAUGCCGCGUGAGUGAUGAAGGCCCUAGGGUUGUAAAGCUCUUUCACCGGUGAAGAUAAUGACGGUAACCGGAGAAGAAGCCCCGGCUAACUUCGUGCCAGCAGCCGCCGCAGUAA
rnacentral:rRNA from 1 species